rnacentral:rRNA from 1 species
ACAUGCAAGUCGAGCGGUAGCACAGAGAGCUUGCUCUCGGGUGACGAGCGGCGGACGGGUGAGUAAUGUCUGGGAAACUGCCUGAUGGAGGGGGAUAACUACUGGAAACGGUAGCUAAUACCGCAUAAUGUCGCAAGACCAAAGUGGGGGACCUUCGGGCCUCAUGCCAUCAGAUGUGCCCAGAUGGGAUUAGCUAGUAGGUGGGGUAACGGCUCACCUAGGCGACGAUCCCUAGCUGGUCUGAGAGGAUGACCAGCCACACUGGAACUGAGACACGGUCCAGACUCCUACGGGAGGCAGCAGUGGGGAAUAUUGCACAAUGGGCGCAAGCCUGAUGCAGCCAUGCCGCGUGUGUGAAGAAGGCCUUCGGGUUGUAAAGCACUUUCAGCGGGGAGGAAGGCGAUAAGGUUAAUAACCUUGUCGAUUGACGUUACCCGCAGAAGAAGCACCGGCUAACUCCGUGCCAGCAGCCGCGGUAAUACGGAGGGUGCAAGCGUUAAUCGGAAUUACUGGGCGUAAAGCGCACGCAGGCGGUCUGUCAAGUCGGAUGUGAAAUCCCCGGGCUCAACCUGGGAACUGCAUUCGAAACUGGCAGGCUAGAGUCUUGUAGAGGGGGGUAGAAUUCCAGGUGUAGCGGUGAAAUGCGUAGAGAUCUGGAGGAAUACCGGUGGCGAAGGCGGCCCCCUGGACAAAGACUGACGCUCAGGUGCGAAAGCGUGGGGAGCAAACAGGAUUAGAUACCCUGGUAGUCCACGCCGUAAACGAUGUCGAUUUGGAGGUUGUGCCCUUGAGGCGUGGCUUCCGGAGCUAACGCGUUAAAUCGACCGCCUGGGGAGUACGGCCGCAAGGUUAAAACUCAAAUGAAUUGACGGGGGCCCGCACAAGCGGUGGAGCAUGUGGUUUAAUUCGAUGCAACGCGAAGAACCUUACCUGGUCUUGACAUCCACAGAACUUUCCAGAGAUGGAUUGGUGCCUUCGGGAACUGUGAGACAGUGCUGCAUGC